rnacentral:rRNA from 1 species
CCUACGGGAGGCAGCAGUGAGGAAUAUUGGUCAAUGGGCGGAAGCCUGAACCAGCCAAGUAGCGUGCAGGAUGAAGGCCCUACGGGUCGUAAACCGCUUUUGCACGGGGAUAACACCCUCCACUUGUGGAGGUCUGCAGGGACCGUGCGAAUAAGGGCCGGCUAAUUCCGUGCCAGCAGCCGCGGUAAUACGGAAGGCCCGCGCGUUAGCCGGAUUCAUUGGGCUUAAAGGGCGCGUAGGCUGGCUGUAAGGUCAGCUGUAAAAGCGCGCGGCUCAACCGCGCCCCGCAGUUGAAACUGGACGCCUUGAGGUCACAACAGGCAGGCGGAAUUCGUGGUGUAGCGGUGAAAUGCAUAGAUAUCACGAGGAACCCCGAUUGCGAAGGCAGCCUGCCGGGGUGCGACUGACGCUGAGGCUCGAAGGUGCGGGUAUCAAACAGGAUUAGAUACCCCGGUAGUC